AAACAUGUUCAGAGGGCAUUGCUUGGUUAGUAGCUUGAAUCUCUCCCAAGCUUCAUAAAGGGCCUCACCAUCUUUCUAUCUGAAGGUCUGAACCUCCAUGCUUAGCUU